UUCGUUGUAGCAAUACGAUGGAAAGUUUAGUGGCGAACGGGUGCUUAACACGUGGGCAACCUGCCAGGAAGUGGGGGAUAGCUCGCCGAAAGGCGAAUUAAUACCGCAUGUGAUUAGAGAGGACAUCCUUUCGAAAUUAAAGUCGGGGCAACCUGACGCUUCUUGUGGGGCCCGCGGCCUAUCAGCUAGUUGGUGAGGUAACGGCUCACCAAGGCUUUGACGGGUAGCUGGUCUGAGAGGACGACCAGCCACACUGGGACUGAGACACGGCCCAGACACCUACGGGUGGCAGCAGUCGAGAAUUUUUGACAAUGGGGGAAACCCUGAUCGAGCGACGCCGCGUGGAGGAUGAAGGUCUUCGGAUUGUAAACUCCUGUCAUUGGGGAACAAUGCACAGAUAUUAACUAUAUUUGUGUUGAUAGUACCCGAAGAGGAAGAGACGGCUAACUCUGUGCCAGCAGCCGCGGUAAUACAGAGGUCUCAAGCGUUGUUCGGAUUCAUUGGGCGUAGAGGGUGCGUAGGCGGCGCGGUAAGUCGGGUGUGAAAUCUUGGAGCUUAACUCCGAAACUGCAUUCGAUACUGCCGUGCUUGAGGACUGGAGAGGAGACUGGAAUUCUCGGUGUAGCA
rnacentral:rRNA from 1 species